rnacentral:rRNA from 1 species
UACGUAGGUGUCGAGCGUUGUCCGGAUUUAUUGGGCGUAAAGAGCCCGCAGGCGGCUUGGCAAGUUUGAGGUGAAAUCUCCCGGCUUAACUGGGAGGGGGCCUCGAAAACUGCCAGGCUUGAGGAAUGGAGAGGGAUGCGGAAUUCCCGGUGUAGUGGUGAAAUGCGUAGAUAUCGGGAGGAACACCAGUGGCGAAGGCGGCAUCCUGGCCAUGUCCUGACGCUCAGGGGCGAAAGCGUGGGGAGCAAACAGG